CAGACACGUGGCUUUGUUGAUGGUGUCAACAUCGUAACGUCCAAGGUCUGCCCCUUCAAGGAUCGUAAGCAUGACGUCCAUGAAGUCCUCACAGCCUGAGGCCACACCAGAGCUCCUCUCUCGGUGCUCCUCUAACCACCCGGAACAAUAGUGGUCCAUUUCUUGCAGUCUCCUUCUGGCCUUCUCCGUGGCCACCCAAGUCCAGCCACGCAGGAACGGCCACGGUGUCGACACCAGAAACAGCCCCAACAAGUAAAAGAAACUCCCUGAAACGCUUUCGCACCGCCGCCCCUCAUCCCAUCCGCCGCUGCAGCCCCGAAGAACCUUUUUUUGGGGAUUUAGUUAUAAAAUUGAGAAAUAGUCAAGUAAAUGUAACAAAAAUAAAUGAACAUUUGAAUUCAUGAAUCAUGAAAAUCAAGUUUUUGGCUCAUGAAUCAAGAGCUUCUUGAAAGCCAAGUUUUUGGCUCGGAAGAUACUUGAAAUGGAGAUUGCUCGGUAUAGGGUGAAUGACACUAUUUACCUUACUCAAAAACAAUAUUUAAAGAAAGUGCUAACGCGGUUUAAUAUGGAUAACAACUCAAAACUGGUUGGUAGCCAUUAGCUCCACAUUUUAAGCUUAAUGCUUUACUGUCUCUUAGUUCAGAAGAAGAAUGUGAUUAGUUGGCUCAAGUUGCUUAUGCAAGCUUGGUUGGUAGUCUUAUGCAUGUUAUGUUUUGUACUAGACUUUAUAUCGCAAAGAUUGUUAGAAUUGUUAGCCGUUAUAUGCAUGAUUCUAGCAACGCACAUUGGCAAGCAGCUAGGUGGAUUUUAUGGUCUAUUAUGGGGACCGUAGGUCUUAGUUUGAAGUUGGAGAAGAGUUCUUUCGCUGAUUGUCUUGUUCCUGGAUAUGUUAAUUCUGAUUAUGCGGGUGAUCUAGAUAAGCGUUGAUAGCUUACGGUUUAAUUGUUUACUAUGGAUGGAAGCCCAGUGUGCUGGUAAUGUACUUUGCACUUUACUGUUGCACGGUCUACUAGUGAGGCUGAAUAUAUGGUUAUUGCUGAAGCCAUUUGGUUACAUCAGUUGGUAGCAGAUUUGGGUGUUACGUAAGAGCAUGUUACCAUCUAUUGUGACAGUCAGAGAGUGAAAUACAUUUGGCAAAGAAUCAAGUUCAAUAUUAUCCGACGAAGCAUAUAGAUGUCCGUUCUCAUUUUGUUCAUGAAAUUGUUGAUGAAGAGGACAUUCUACUUGAGAAGAUUUGCACAAUGAAUAAUUCAUUUGAUAUGUUGACGAAUGUUGUUUCUGGAGUCAAGUUUCAAUAUUGUUUGGACUUAAUCAAUUUGUAGCAUGUGUAAGCACCUUUAGGUGCAUUUUGUUGGGGGUUGUUGAGCACGAUUCAAAUGCCUUUCACUACUUUGGGUUGCAGUGCAUGUGGGUUCGUAGUUGGUAUCUCACUAAGGUAGAGAGAUCUGUGAGGUUUUUGUCUUGAACCAAAUCCGAUCGAUUGAUCGUCAAUUGAGGUCGAUCAGAGCAUUCUAAUGAAAAUAAACAAACUGACCGUUAACCAGAUGUCUGUUGGGGAAUCCUGAUCAAAGCCGACUGUCAGGUGGUUCAUGUCGAGCUGUUUGACUCGUUUUCACAUUUAGGUGCGACCUAACCUUUUUUUUUGACUUCCUAAAGGUAUAUUAAUUCCCUUUUGUAUUAGUGAGAGAUAGAGAGAGCCUCUUUGAGAGACUUGUUUUUAACUUUUUGGAGCAUUCGUUUGAUUCUUUAGUGAAGAUGGACGUAGGAUUCAACCGAAUCACGUAAAUUGUUGUCUCUCAUGCGUGUAUGAUUGCUUUUUUCUCUCUCUAUUCGUUUAUUAAUAUUCAUUUUUUAUUAUUUUCAUAUUUAAAAUUAUAAAUUAUCUUGGAUUUGUGACGCUUUCGCACAACAAUUACCAUUUAAGUGUGUGGUCCACCUUUUUAUGUUAGUAUAUUAAGUAAUUUAUGAAAUAUCUUUAAAAUUAUUCUUUUGCUAAAUAUAAAGAUAAGUUGUAUAUAAUAUUUUUAUUUAUUUAUGCUAAAAGUAACUCUUAAAAAUAAAGCACACCUUUUUCCUGCAACCAUUCGAACCGCCACGUUAAGCGUCAAGUCUGCAAACCACUGCUUCAUCUCCACCAAGACAUGCCCUGAGCUGUCUUUCUUCUCUCUCCAAAGCUUGUAAAGUUCUUUUAUUGAGGUCUCGGUUUCGGAGACUCGCACGUGUUUCAGCAGCUCCAGCCGGCGGGUCGCUGUUGUUGCAAAAAUCAAAUACAAUAUGCUAAAUAAAAUUUUAAAUAAUUAUAAGAUAUUAUACGAUAAGCCAUUAUCGUAAAACUGUAUCUGCCUCCUUUUGUGCACGUUGUGACGGUCCAAUACAAUUUCAAAAUGCUAACUCAUAAAAUGUUCCAACGUCUUCCAAUAUAGAGACAUAGAGAUAAGAAUACUGAGGAGAAAACCAAAUUUAUUGUACAUGUGGAUUAAAUGGAAAUCAUCAAUUCACCCCAAAUGUAAACGUUUCGGAGGGAGAAUUGAUCAUUCCCUAUCAAUUGCUUAGACAUUAUAAAUUUAUUAACUGAUUUUGUGUGAAAUUCUAGUAAUUUAUAGCAUUCGAGCCCUAGUUUCACUAAUUUGUUGGUGAUUAGAGAGAAAGAAACCGUAAUUGAAAGCUUUAAUCCAUUUUUCUCCUUUUAUUUUUCAUUGAUUUUGUAUAUAUCCAGUCCACUCGUGCAAAAUGAGACUAAUUUUCUCUACAAAACGUUGACGUGGACGAGUUGAGCCAGAAAAUCUGACACACAGAUAACUUUUGUCGUUAACUUGACCAAAAUUAACAUCAGGGCAAAUUGAUAAUUAUUUUAAAAAGUCAGGGAUUUAAUUGAUGUUUUUCCAAUAACAAUGGUGUAUGAAAUUUUUAGGUAAAAGUUUAAAGUUUAGAGAGAAUUUUAAUUUUUUUCCAUUAAAUAAUGUAUAGUCUCAUACCCUACCUCACUGAAGUCUUGCCCAUUAGUACAAUGUUUGGAAACUUGGAUCGGAUUGGCUGGUUCGACCGGUUGAACCAUCGAUCGGUCCACUUUAUGAUUUAAUUUGGGCUAAAUACUUGUUUAACUCAAAAAACGACUUAGAUCACUAAACCGCAUGAACCCGCCGGUUCAACUGGUGUUGGGUUGCUAGACCCGACCAUUUCUCUCUAAGAAGGAGUUGAACUUGAGACCCUAAACUUAACAUGUGGCAUUCCAAGCCAAUUAGCUUACACACAUUUUAUGACUUAAAUUAUACAUUAUAAUAUAUAUUAUAAUUUUUCUUAAUUCCUUUUUAGUUUUUAUACUUUUAUUUUAUAUGUUUUUUCAACUUUUCUUAUAUGGCUUUUCAACUUUUUAAUAUUAGGAUGGUUGAUGUAAUGCCAAAUAAAAUUAUUUUAUAUUUAUAAUUUUAAAUUUAUUAGUGACAAUUAUGACGUCGCGGUUCGAUUACGGUUUGGCCUGAUAGUUGAACCAGUAACCUAUCCACUUGAUCAUUUUUUAAUUCAUUUAAUGGUCUGAUUUUCAAAACAUUGCUUUAGUAUAAGAUCCUUUUUUUUCCUUUCAAAUUUUAAACUAAGAAUUUGUCCCUUAAUAUUAAAAGAAAAGGUUACAUCCAUCCACUAAUGAAAAAUAAAUAGUAAUUAAGAAAAGGGUGGUUGAAUCCUAAUCUCCACCAACCUAGAAACUCCACAGAGAUUAUCUUGCGCAGUUCACGCCAAUAUGCACCAUAUGGGGAAAACCCAAACAUGGCACAGUUGUAGCCGAGGUGUUGGGACGCGGCAAACUUUGGCCGGGACGAUACCGCCACGUCAUGUGUGGUGAAACAUUCCUUGGCUAUCUCUGAGUUACUCACCACCACCGCUCGGUGGAUCCCGAGGUGGAGGGUGAAGAUCGGCCCGUGCUUGUCGGCCAUGGCGGCCAAAGUCAUGUGGGGAAGCUGAGAGCCUCGUAGCUGGUGGAGGUGGCCUAUUAUGGGCCAUGCACCACCAGCUUGUGGUGGUGGACUAUUUUUUGGAGAUUUAUAUUUGGAAGUUAUCGUUUUGCUUAAGUAGUAGAAGAAAACCAGAGACAAAGUGAAAAGUGCAAUGGAAGUGUUUGCUUGUGGGAGAAGGAAGUUUUCCAUGGCAGCUUAUGGCUUUUGGAAAUAAUUUUGGUUCAUGUUGUGCGAUGGUUUUGGGCUUUUGUAUAUAGUAUGCAUGCAGUGGGGUAGCGAGAAUUUCUAUUUAGUGGUGUUAUGGAAUAAGUAAUCAAUUCAAAAAAAAGAAUAUUUGAAUUUCACUGUAUUUUGCAGUGCUAGGUGCUGGUGAAAAAGAGAAGAAAAAAAAAUUAAUUUUAUAUUUAAAAAAGUAAAUAGUACAAUUUUACUAUUUUUGGUGGUGGCGGCGGCAUUCAAAAACAGUAAGAAAAUAUUUUAAAAACUAAUUCUAUUAUUCAAAACAAUAAACUGUACAAUUUCACUGUUCUAGGCAGUAGAUACAGUGUCGGCGGCGGUAGUGAAAAAUAGUAAAAAAAUAAAAAAUAAAUUUACUAUUCAAAAAAGCAAACAGUAUAAUUUCACUUUUCUGGGCAAUAGUGGCAGUGGCGGCGAUGGCGGUGGUUAUGAAAGUGAUGGAAAAUAGUAAAAAAAAAUUAUUAAUAAUUUUAUAGUUCAAAACGACAAACAUUAUUAGUUCACUGUUAUGGACGGUGGCGGCUGUGACGAUAGUGGUAAAAAAGAUUAAAACAAAAAAUUAAUAAUUUUAUUGUUCAAAAAGGCAAACAGUAUAAUUUUACUAUUUUGGGUGGUGGCGGCAGUGGUGGUGGUGAUGGAGAAAAAUAAUAAUAAAAACUUUAAAAAUAAUUUUUUGUUCAAAAUAAGGGCAAAAUCGUCAUAAAAAACUCCAAAAUAAAAAUAGAGGACCUUAGCCAGAAAAUCUUUCAACUUAAUGGACUUCACAAUUUGGCAAAAUAUUUAUUGGACUAAUUGUUAAUUCAAGCCCAACUCAAAUACUUCAGACCAUUUUUUUUUCUAUCAUAAAAGUAUGACAGCUAGAUCCCCAUACACAAUUAAUAGGUCGACCCAAAGAUAAUUAAUACGUGGAUCUUACUUUAAUUAAUAAUAAUAUCCAUAAUUACUCAUAACUUUUUUACCAAAUUAAUUCAUAACAUUAAUUUUUAGUUAUUAUAUCACGUAAAAGUACAAAUAUAUUGGACCUUUAACAAAUGAUUUUUUAUAUAUAAAAUCUCAUAAAAGAAACUACAUAUUAUCAUACAAAAAAUUACAAUAUUCAUAAUUUUAUGUCACAAUAAAUCAUAAGUAAUUUAAAAAAUAUAAAUCAUAACAAUUUUCAUAAAUACUCGUAAAAACUAUUACACUAAUUGGAUCAUAACAAGUUUUUUUCGAUACAUAUAUCAUAAAAAAUGUCUACAUAGUGGACUCCACAUAAAUAAAAAAAAUAAUACUAAAAGUUCUCAUAAAAUUAACCUUAAAUUAUCAUAAAUAACUUGAUGCUAGCAUCUGAAUCUUGUUCAAAAUUUGAGAGGCGUCCUUCCUCCUGAAGUUGUAAACACAUACAUCCACAAAUAACCUGUUUUUAUGAGAUAGUUCAUGUCUUGGCCUAUGUGCAAUGCAAUAAAAUAGAAAUAGAAAAUCAGAUAUAGUUGAUAUGAAGUACUAGUUUUUGAAGAAAAAAGUUUAUGUUUAUCAAGUUUUUGUCACCAUUUUUUUAUUCUAACUGGUUGAAUGUGCGUGAUUGACGACCCGGCUCUUGCCCAAGUGGUCGCCCUCUUGAUUUUUAAGGGUAAAAUUUUGAGUUCGAGCUAAUAAAGGAGUGUCAACACAUUUUAUAACUACUAACAACUAAUUCUUUUUGAUGUAUUAAAAAAAAAGAAUGUACGUGAUUGAUUCUAAUAUUCCAUGUACCCUAGACGUUAUGCAAGGAGAAACCUGAGGACCUGAGGUGAGUCAUUUUAAUUUGUUGAUGAUUUUAAUAAUUAUACGCGGAUUAGAAUUUUUUCAGUUUGCCCAUGAAUAGAACUUAUUGCGUAACCUAAGAAACUUGUAUAGGGAAGAUUGAGGUGGAGUUACAGGGAGAUACGGAAAAAUACCAAUAGCACCGGGGUGACCCUUGAUGGUAGAAAAGAGAAUUGUUUUAGAGGUCGGAUUUUUGGGUGUUUUUAGUCUCAUGAUUGUAUACCUCUACGGAAUAUAGUAGAUUAUUGUUAUUGCCUAUAAACAUAGUCUGGUGUGGGCCAAAUUACGUAAAUUCUUUGUGUGAUUUUUUCUUUAUUGUGUGCGUGAUUAUGCUUCGGUUUGUGUUCGGGGAUGGUGAAAAUUUUUACAUGUGACCUUAAUCAGCAGAGGAAAUAUGAGACGUUAGACAAAUUAUGAGAAAUCCUAUUGUCCUAAAAUUUGGAUUAAGAAAGUUCUUAUAAUUCAAAAUGAAUGAUUCAAAUUUACAUGAGCACAUGAAUCUCACAUAACUAAGUGAUUUUGAACCAUUUAUUUUAAAUUCAUGAAACUUUUUUGAUUCAAAUUCUCGGACAGUAGAGUAUGCAUUCAAUAAUGCGUUCAUGAUACUUUUUUGUGAAUAUAUUACAAUACAUCUCCAAUUAGUAUUGCUUUUAACUAUUUGAAAAGUGUAAUGUUCCUAUAUGUGUUUUAAAUUCUCAUAAUUUGGCUGAUUCACCCAGUGCAGGCGGUACCAAAUCUUACUUUUGUUUUAAUAAUGAAAAUUCUUUGCCUUUAUAAAGCUACAAGAUAAUUACUUUUUUGAAUAAAGAUACCUUGCGAAUGUGCAUAAAACAUGAAAUAAACAUGAACAUUGAACGCACCUUUUCUUGGGCAAAUCAAUUCUAUAGAAACAAGUUUUUUUAUAUAAAAUUUGCAUACAAAAUAAUGUGAGUCGUUUAUAUCAUACUGGCCCACAUUUUUUAGUUGUGUUUCGGCCAAAUAGAACUCAUUUUUGUGCUUGCUUGGCUUGUGUUAGUGUUUAGCACACAUUAUUGAAUAUAAUUGAUACAUUUUUUCUUAUUUUUGUAUACUUGCACGUGUUAAAAUAUUCGAUUUAAAGUAAUUGUUCUCAAAAGUUAGCUCAGCAUACUACCACUCAUUCUCGUGCCAUCGCAGAUCGUGGUUACCAGGACUGAAAUACAUAGAAAGGGAAAAUGGAACUGAUUUGGAAAAAUCCAAAGUGGCUACAGUGUUCGUCGACAAUCUACCAAAAGAUGUAUGGAAGGUAUGGCUAUACAAUCUCUUCUCCAAGUUUGGGAAAAUUCAGAGCAUUUAUAUUCCCAACAAGAAGAGCAAAAUUCUGGGAACCAAUUCGGGUUUGUGAGGAUGGGGAGUCCUCAGAGCUAUAAGGGCUAUAAAGGAAAUGACUGGCUUUGGAUUUGGGAAUAACUCUGGUGGCCAAACAUCGCUUAGAUUUGGGUGUCCAAAUAAAAUGGAGUCCAUAUCAAUCAAGUAUAAAUAUCCGACAGGGAUCACGGAGAGAAGGGUCCAGGGAUUGAUAGAGUCCAUGAGGGAGGGAGAAGUUGCGGAGUGAAUCUAAGUAUGCAAAGGACCUGCCGUACAAUAAACUAGAGAUAAAUCCAAAAUAGAGCAGCAAGUUUGGAGGAAAAAGGAGUGCCAUACAAGAUCAAAUUGAACCAAGGAACUCAUGGGAGAGUGGAAAUUUCCACAGUAAAGGUGAAUGAGUGGGUGAACGGAUGGUUAUAUAGAUGCCAUUGCAAAAAUUUCGUCGACAAGUUUCGAUGUCGAAUUCAGACAACUCAGGAAUCUAGGCGAGGUGCACGUCCUGGUAGGCAUAUGGGUGGUGAAUAUGGUGGUCCUAACGUAUCCAGGAUCGUGGAAGAAAAGGGAAUCUAUGUUUCAGGAAGGUAAAUUGGCAUGGUUAAUAGAAUGGUUUUGUGGAGAUCUUCCAGUGGGAGAAUACCAAUUAAAUCCAUGCGCAGAUGGUAUGGCUAAACUGUUAUGGAAUCCUCUCCAUCUUUGGAAUUUCCAAACCUUCUCAGAAAUUGGAAAAUCUGGGGCGAGGUCAUUAUGCUAGCUGAAGAACACUCAACGUUAUGCCUUCUCGGUGGGAAAAAUAGUUAUAUCAACAACUGUAAUGGAUUUGAUCAAUAAGGUUAUGGAAUGGAUAAUAAUGGCAGCUCUUUCCAAAUCACGCCAUGGAAGAACAACUUGUGUGAAACACAGUUCUACGCACAGAUUGUGCUUGUCCAGGAUUUCAAGUGGAUGCUCAUACACUGAAUCACAACUUGGCUGAAGAAGUAUACAAUCUACCAUGCAAGAGUGUAAUGGCGAGGAUCCGAUUUAAAAUCCCUCUGAUUGAGGAAUUAGCAGAGGCUAUCACUACCGCACUACAAGAUGGUGCCCUCUAUUGUGUGGUCUCAAGUCAUACAAAGGCUGAAGACCUCAUGUCUAGUAAACAUCAAUAGCAUGCAGCGGUUCUUUUCUGGGUCUAGAGGCUAUGAACACACUGCUCGUACACAAGGUUGGGUGACUUAACUCUCAUCAAAGGCAACAGGGUGGCAGCAAUAUCCUAUUUAGAUGCUCUAACGAGCAACUUGAGGCUACCCAAUUGUUGGUACGACCCCCUUAAGGUAAAUACCUCAUCCCCCAAUCCCAGAGUAAAAUAAUCUUAGUAUUGUGGUCCACAAAAAACAGUUACUUGCCUCUAAAGGUAAACACCUUCAUUUCACUAAUUCCAAACCAUAUACCUCAGAGCUGAGAAGAGCCUCAUUAUUGUCUCCCCCCCAAAAAAAGGCACCCCAAGGGCCCUAAAGGAUUUCAUACCAGACUCCAAUUUACCUUCAGUUCUGAUGCUCUGGAUGAGAAACCAAAAAGGAGCAGAUGUUAGUAGAGGAUAUUCUAGGACUAUCAAAACCCCGAAGACUAAGAAAGGGGAGGAUGGAAACAAAAAUGUGUAGUAUUUAGACAGCUAUGGCUGCUGUCUUUGCACUGUCGUGUCCACAGAUGGGAUUUACAAACAUGAAAAAGAUCCUACUAAGUGAAUCCAAAGCUGCGCGGGGGUGCGUGUCAGGGCAAAAAUUUUGGGACCUGAUUAUAUGGGUAAUGAUGAAUAAGUAAUUAGUAGGAUAAUGGUUGUAGUGAUGAGGAAGCUGAGCUGAGACUAUAUCCUUGCUGUCUAAUUCCCAAGUAACAGUUUCAAACACAGGCAGUAUGAAAAUUCCUCUCCCUGAAUUUAGAGGUUGGGGAAGAGGGAAAAGGGAGUAACAGUGAAAGAAAUUCUAAGUAUCUAAAGGUGGACAUGUUGCUACUACAAUAAACAAGCUUUAAGGACUUAAGCCUAUCAUCUUACAGUCCAUUUGGGGGAUAUCUGAGGUUUUUUUGGUACAUGUUGAUGCUGAUGGGAGUGCUGUGGUCUAAUUACUCUAUGGAGGACUGAUUCCCUUCAUGUUAGAAUCCUCAUGUUGUAAUAGAAACUUAUUUUGUAGUGGUGUCAUUCUACCUGAUUUCCCUGUACUAUCUUGAACGUGUAUGGGCGCUAUACUGUCUCUGAAAGGGAAAGGAUUUGGGGGGGUUUCAACUUGUCCCCUUAAAAGCCAAUUUCCUCUGUCCCUGGUGUAUGGGUGAGAUUUAAUGAAGUUAGAAAUCUGAGUGAAAGGCAAGGUUAUUCUAAUAGGGACAGAGGGAUGAUGGGGGGGGGAAGACUACAUAACUUCAUUGAGGCUAUGGCUGAGUAGACAUCAAUUGAAUUGGUAUGAAGUUACAUGGUCAAACAAUCAGAGGUAGAGAAGUGGAGUAGAAUUGAUAGGUUUCUUUAUUGAGUCAACAUUGGCUACCAGGUUUAAUUAAAGAUGGGGGCCUGCAAAACUAUUUCUGAUCAUUGCCCAAUUUUAUUAAAGUUGAUGAUAGGGAUCGGGGCCCAAAGCCAUUUACAUUUUUAAUGCUUGGCUAUCUAACUCCAAUUGUAUUCGAAUAGUGGAGAAUCUGGGCUAAGUAAUUCUGAUCAAGGGUUUGGGGGGCAGCUUUUGAAUCCAUAAGAAAUUAAGAAUUGAAGCUUCCCUUCAAACUCUGGGCAAGGAAAGUUUUGGAGGGUUACUAGUCAAAGAUUGAGAUUGUGGAAGAGAUCUUCAGGAUUUGGAUAUAAAAGCUGAGAAUGGUAUUCUAUCUGAUGCUGAUAGGACACAAAGAAGGAUCUGAGGUCAGUUAAUGUGGAAGCUAAGUAGAUCUAUGGACAGAUGUGGUGGCAAAAAGAAGUCCGAGACUAAAUGGCAACUUCAAGAAGACAAAAAUUCGAAGUUCUUCAUUCAGGGUCAUAAUGGCAAGCAUGAUAAAAUAAACUUAUUUUAGUCAAUUAUGAGCAAAUUGAGGAUCCAAAUCUAAUAUAAGCAAGCGUUUCCACUACUUCAAGGGCUUGUAUGAAGAAAUAUGGCAAUUAGGCCAAUGUCCAUAGAAAGGCCAAGGUUAAUAUCAUAGUGGUUAAUGCAGAUCCAUUUGUGUUCUUUUACUGAGGAUGAAAUCUGAGAUGUAUCACAUCCUGUGAUGGGAACAAGGCUCCUGGACCAGAUGGAUUCAAUAUGCUAGUAUUAAGAAAGGCAUGGUAUUGUCAUGAAACAGGAUAUUCGAUUUAUGGAUAAUUCCAUAGUAAACUUAAGCUACCCAAAUGCUUGAAUUCCUCUUUUAUAACCCUGAUUCCCAAAGUUCAAAGCCCCAUGUCUCUGUCGAAUUUCUCUCAAUAAGCCUCAUAGGAAGUAUGUUAAAAUUUUUGGCAAAGUCUUGGCAUGCAGAAUUAACAAGGUAUUCCUAUGGUAUUGGGAGAGGUCCAAUCAGCUUUUAUAGUGGAGAACUAUCCCAGAUGGUAUCCUUAUUGCAAAAUGAGGUGGUGGAGGAUGAAAAGAGUGAAACAGGGUCAUCAUUAUCAAGCUAGACUUUGAAAGGCUUUGAUACAUUAAUUGAACUAUUUGUUGAAAAUGAUGGAUCUCAUGGGAUUUCCUCAAAGGUGGAGAGAUUGGAUUAAAGAGUCCUUUCUUCUGCAAGUGUUUCUGUCUAGUAAAUGCUCUCCUUGGUAAGAGUUUUCCGAUGCAUAAGGGGGUCAGACAGGGUGAUCACUUCGUGCCUUUCCUAUUCAUCUAGGCAGCUGAAGGGCUAAACUGGAUUCUUAAGAGGGCUUAUAGUCAUGGGGUCAUUCAGUGGUCCUACAUAUGGGUACUGCUGGGAGUGAUUUUCUCACUUACCAUUGCUGUGACUAUUAAUUUUUUGUCACACAAGGUGGAAGAGGUGGUUUUCCUUAAGAAUCUCUAGGGAACUUUGAGUCAAGUAUCUGGACUAAAGAUCAACUACAUAAAUGCUGUAAUGUGUAGUGUGGUGGGCUCGCAAUAGAUGGGUGAAGUCCUUGGCCAAUGUCCUAAACUGCCAAGGUCCAAAAGCUGCUUCCCAUAAAUACUUUGGGCUUCCUCUUGGAGCUAAUCCCAAUUGAAAGAAACCUGGAAGCCAUGGUUGAAAGGUCGAUCAAGAUUGUCUUCAUGGAAGAGGAGGAACCUAUCAUUUGGUGGUAGAAUUGUAACUAAUCACCGCUGCUUUUUUAGCCUACCUUUAUCCUAUAAUUUCAAUAUUCACGAUGCCAUUGGUGUGAUUAAGCAUUAGUCAUACAAGCAAGAUUUCUAUGGGGGGGCUCUGACCUCAGAAAAAUUGCACUUGGUUGGCAUGGUCAAGCCUCAAACGUAACUCUGUGUGGGGGUCUUGUAUCAGAACAUUAAACUUAUGUAAUGAGUGCCUAUUGAUGAAGUGGUGGUGGAGAUUGGAUUGAAAAAUGCCCCUGGAGGCAAGUCUUAAAUGCCAAAAUACAAAAGUGGAGGGGAGAGAUGAUUCCAACAUGGAGCUAAAUAGGAAAGUAUCAAAACUUGAAGAGACUUAUGCUAAUUUGUGUACGGCAACAUUGCUUUUCGAGGCUUUCAUAGAAAAUGCAGCUGAGAAUUGGGGAUGGUAGAUCAAUCAUGUGUUUUGGGAGGAUAUAUGGCUAGGCAACUCCCUCUUCAGUCCUUUUUCCCCACUCUGUUUAAAUCUUAAGCAACAGUCUGAGACCUUGGGUGAUGUAUUGGCAAGAUUUGAGGAUCUUCAUGGCUGGGUUGUUUUGUUCAGAAGACCUUGCUGGUAGGGAAUCAGAAGCCUUACAGAGCUCAAGGAGGUAAUUGGAGGGUUCUGAAGUGGGUGGCCACAUCAGAUAGGCAGGAUUCAGGUUAAUUUGGCAAGGCUCCUUCUGUAAUUUUCUGUCAAGUGCAUUAUAACUGGGCGUAUCUCUACUCAUUCAAGUGUUUAUCAGAAUUUUGAGUUAAUCUGGCAGAAUGUUGGGCCCCCCCCCCCGUUGCAAUGUUUUGGUUGGCUAACUAUCUUGGCAAGUAAAACUGCUGAUUUCCUAUUCAGAUUAGUUAUAUCCAGGAUGAGUGUGAAUGCUUUGUGCUCAUUUUGCAACAUGACUUGAACUCUAGAUCAUUUAUUGCUUCAUUGCUUCCUGUUUGGAAUUGUUGGGCUGCCAUUCUAGGUGGGUGUGUGUUGUCUGGGUAGCCCCUGCAUCUAUAGGCGUUUGUUUUAUUGGGUGAGAGCCUGGUCCUUGGAACUCACGGGUAAAGCAUCUGGACUCCAAGCCCUUUGGCUGUGUGUUGUCUAUAUGGAAUGCUAGAAACAAAAAAAUUUUGAUAACACCCAGUGAAUUGCUUGAUAUUGUUUGAUCUCAUUAUUGGCUUCGCAUAGCCUUCUGGGUAUCAUCAAGCACGGACGUAGAGAUCUAUCAAUGGAGCAUCCAAUAUAGAGAUGAAUUCAGGGAUUCGUGAAAGGUAGAAUUCCCCAAUCCUUUGUUGAUAGGAUUCUUUUGGGUGUCUUUGGAUCUUUGGACAAGUUACGGGUUUAACUCUGAGUUGGAUCCCCAAAGGUUGUUGAGCUUCUUGUAUGUUAUGGAGUUCAUGUUGUUUGUAAUUGUUAGUUUUAGUCCGUUUUUUCUUUUGGUUGGGUGGAAGGGUUGAUUGCUUAUCACUGUCUCUUUAGCCUAUUAUGUUAUUCUGUUCUCAUUUCAAUGAAACUUUCUUCUCGCUGGUUCAAAAAAAAAAAUAUUCGAUUUAAACAAUUUUAUUUACAAGUUAUUUUUGUGAGAGUUGUAGGAACUUUGACGUUAAAGACGUCCUCCUACCCACGUUUGAGUAUAUCGAGGAAGUUAUGAUGAAGUCAAAUGGCUAGGAGAAGCCCGGAGUGGCAAUGUGAGACCAAAAUGAGACCUAGGCAACCAAAGCAGAAGAACUACUGGUAGUUGAUGCAGGACUACCAGUGGACAAGGCAUUUCAAAGGCGAAAUCAGAAUAUUCACUACUAGUAGUGAGUUCAGCACUACUAGUAGUCCAUACUUCCAUAGAUUAAUCAAGGUUUAAGCACUACCGAUAGUGGAUUCAUGAUUACCAGUAGAUGGAGGAUUCAGGCAGCUCCAAAGACAAAAGAAUUAUCGGUAGUGAAUGCUUAAACCAGAACUUUUUUAACUUUUAUGUGCAACUUUUAAGGGUAUUUUCGCCUUUUCAUUAGGACUUUUUUACGGUCUAUUUAAACAACUUUUUUAAAAUUUUCAAGAAUUGAAUUCAUUUUAGGUUUAACUCCAUUUUAGAUCUAGAAGUUAUUAUAGAGAGAAAGAGAAGAAGAAGUGGGUUUAUGUAUUAAAAGUUGUAAAUCUUUAAUUUUUCUACUCUCAUUUGCUCAUUUAUGAUUAUAAGUACUUUUUAUUGUUAAUUUUAAACAAUUUCAAUUUCUCUGAACUACUUGUUGUGCUUCUUCUUUUUUUAUAUUUCUUGUCUUUUCAUUUUCUACUUUUUAUUUAAUCUUUUGUAGUAUAUCACCUUAAGAUGAACUCUACACAAUUAUGGUUGCUACCCACUAUUUUGGGACUUGGUCGCAAGAGUUAGAUUUCCAUUUUUUGACCUAGGUUUGAUUGGUUAAUUGUCUCUAAAAUGGUUUACACGCGUGUUUGAAAUAUUAGGGCAAAAUAUUGUGCAGUCUUAACUAGGUUCCAUAUAUCCUUUAAUCCAUGUGUCAACAAGCUUGCCUUGGGUACAUUGAUGCUUAGUUUCCCUGUACUCUAAGUGUGUUUGAUAAAAUGUCUCAAAACCUUUAAUCAUUCACAAACACACUCAUUUGUAUGAGAAACAUGAUUUUAAACUUAAAUCUUUCAACUAAUAUCAUAGUAAAAAUGAGAUGUGGUUGAGUUAAAUGAGAGAAAAAACUCACCUACCAAAGUUAAGAAGGAAUCGAGUUUUUAAACUUUGCCUCCUUUAAUUUUAUAGUUAAAUUACUAUAGUGUAAACAAAAUCAACAUUUCACAACCAAAACAUUUUUCAUAACUUUAAUAUUAAAUUAUUUGUUUACUCACUAUAGAAAAUUCGGCUUAUCAUUAGUUCCCUAUUGAGAAUUGAUAUCAGGCAUUCUGAAUAUUAUGCUGCAUUGAUCACAGGUUUUUACGCAUGGAAACAUACGCAUUUGGAAAGCAAACAGUUAGUUAGAAAGCAAACUAUGAGAGAGUGAAAUAGGUUUGCUAAGAUUUAAUGGCCAGUUAAAUUUCUUCUCAAUAACUUACACAAACAAUGAACUUCUAGAUUUAGCAUGUAAGCAAUGUAAAAGGAGAGAAGAGAAAAUGAUGCAAAUGAUUUAGAGUGAUUCGGCGAAUCUUGGCGUACAUCCACUCUCUAAGCUUUUUCUUGAAAAUUCACUAACUUCAAGCUUAAGGGUAUUUGAUAACAUUUACAACUACUAGAACUCUUCUAGUCUUUAAGAUACUACUUCUCUUGAAAAUUCUCAAUCACUAACAGUGAUCUUCUUAAUAAAAUACAAUAGUUUGAAGUAACUAUUUGCUCAUAUAAUCUAGAUUGAUAAUAAAUAUAUUGAAGCUCUCUUGUCUAGAGUUAUCUAACUUUCUUGAUCUCAAUCAAGCGCAUAAUGAAUGACCUCAAUUAAGCGCACAAUGAAUGGAAGUAAUGAAUACAAGUGAGUGUAAGGAUUAAAAGCACUUCAAUUACUUUUCCAACAACUCCAAUGAUUGAAUUUAUAAACCAAAAAUGAAUUAUAGUCAUUGUAGCAUUAAAUGCAACUGAUUUAGUCGUUCUGAUUUAAUCACAGUUGUUGGAUCUAUGAUUUAGACGUGCAAGAUCAAACUUUCAAACUUUGGUCGAUCGAACUUGAAUUUCGAUCGUUUGAACUAAAAGUCCAUAGGCUUGCAUUUCUUGUUUGCUGAGAGUUUUAUAAUUUUCGGUCGACCGAACUUGAACUUCGGUCGUGUUUGAAUUAUAAUUCUAGUGAGCACUUAUGUCGCUCUGCUUUUUGUUUGAUCUUCGAUCGGUUGAACCCUCUGAACUUUGGUCGUGCGCUUCUAAAUUUCGGUCGAUCGAAUGUAAACUUUGGUCGUCAUGAACUAUAUUUCCAAAGAACAAGUCUGUCUUGAACUUUUGAUUUUUCUGUCAUUUGGCUGACCUUUAUACAAGUUCAGUCGUGGCUUCCUAACUUUGGUUGACCGAAAGUAAAGUUCGGUCGUCCUUUAACUUAAAUUCUAGUGAGCAAUUUAAACACUUGUUUUGUUCCUUCAAACUUCGGCUAAGCCUCUUAUGCUUCAGUCGACUAGUUCGGUCAAUCGAACUUUUGACAAUAACAACUUUUGUGUUAUUUUUUUGUUUUGAGUGUUGAAUUUGUUCUUUUGCCUCUUUCGUAUACUCAAUGACACUGAUUAUGACUUGUGAGGAGUUUCAACUCUCACUUUAAUCGUGAGUAAACCUAUUUUUAAGACCACUGUUGUAUUUCCUUAUUUAAAAUAAUUUUCAACAAAAGUUUAUCUUUAACUUAGCUUUUAACAAUUGUAAUCAUCAAAAUCAAAUAAACAUUUAUUUCAACAGCUUGUCUUUAUGGUUUGGGGGAGGUGUAUGGGCGUAGGAGGGGUUGGGAAGGAACUUGAUAGGUUUAUACUUACUUGGUUUUUCUCUUUGCUUAUUUUCAUGACUUGUUUAACUUAGUUUUUUUUUAAAAAAAAACUACAGUGAUUUUUUACUAUUUCUUAGCCAUCCCAAGCAGAAAAGUUGAUUUCUUAUCUCACUUUUUGUAUUUUAGCCACAAGUAAAAGAAUAGCUAAACCAAACGGGGCCUUAGUGAGAGAGCAAUGGUACAUACAUAUAAUAGUUACAUAUAUUGUUCAUACAUAAUACGGUAGAUCUUUUUUCUCUUCUAUUUUUUUCAUAAUAAAGUAUUAGUUACUAUGAGAGGAUAAAAUAUCCCGCUUCAUUUCCGGUAGAGCUUUAACGAGCGCUGUCGUUGGACUGUCACUUUAUAGCAAGUUCGGUCAGUAUUUUCACAAUUUUUUGAGCGACAGUGGCAGUGGCGGCGAUGGCGGUGAUGGUGAAAAAUAGUAAAAAAAUUAUUAAUAAUUUUAUUAUUUAAAAUAACAAACAAUAUAAUUUUACUGUUAUGAGUGGUAGCGGCAAUGACAAUAGUAGUGAAUAAGAGUAAAAAAAUAAAAAAAAUAAUAAUUUUAUUACUCAAAAAGGAAAACAGUACAAUUUUAUUAUUUUGGGUGGUGGAGGCAAUGACGAUGGUGGUAGAGAAAAAUAAUAAUAAAAAUUCAAAAAUAAUUUUGUUUUCAAAAUAAGGGCAGAAUCAUCAUAAAAAACUCCAUAAUAUAAAUGGAGGACCUUAGCCAGAAAAUCUUUCAACUUAAUGGACUUCACAAUUUGGCAAAAAUAUUUACUGAACUAAUUGUUAAUUCAAGCUCAAUUCAAAUACUUCGGACCAAUUUUUUUUUAUCAUAAAAGUAUGACAGCUGGAUCCUAAUACACAAUUAAUAAGUGGACCCAACGAUAAUUAAUAAGUGGAUCCCACUUUAAUUCAUAAUAAUAUUUAUAAUUAGUCAUAAUUAUUUUACUAAAUUAAUUAAUAACAUUAAUUUUUGGUUAUUAUAUCUCAUAAAAGCACAGAUAUAUUGGACCUUGCGUUAAUUAUACAUGGGCCCACAUAACAAAUGAUUUUUUUUAUUUUAUAAAAUCUUAUAAAAUAAACUAUGUAUUAUCAUAAAAAGAAACUACAUUAUUCAUAAUUUUAUGUCACAAUAAGUCAUAAGUAAUUUAAAAAAUAUUGUCAUAAUUACUCGUAAAAACUAUUAAACUAAUUGAAUCAUAACAAGUUUUUUUGGACACAUAUCAUAAAAAAUAUCACAGUGGACUCUACAUGAAUAAAAGAAAUAAUACUAAAAGUUCUCAUAAAAUAAAAUGGACCUUAAAUUAUCAUAAAUAACUUGAUUCUAGCAUCUUAAUCAUGUUCAAAAUUUGAGAGGCAUCCUUCCUCCUGAAGUUAUAAACACAGACAUCCACAAAUAACCUGUUUUUAUGAGAUAGUUCAUGUCUUGGCCUAUGUGCAAUGCAAUAAAAUAGAAAUAGAAAAUCAGAUAUAGAUAUGAAGUACUAGUCUUUGAAGAAAAAAAUUAUGUUUAUCAAGCUUUUGUCACUAUUUUUUUUUAUUCUAACUAGUUGAAUGUUUGUGAUUGACGACCCGACUCUAGCUCAUGUGGUUGUUCCCUUGGUUUUAAGGGUAAGAUUCUGAGUUCGAGCUGAUAAAGAAGUGCCGACACCUGUUAUAACUACUAACAACUAACUCUUUUUGAUGUAUUAAAAAAAAGAAUGUACGUGAUUGAUUCUAAUAUUCCAUGUACCCUAGGGCAUAGACGUUAUGUAAGGAGAAACUUGAGGUGAGUCAUUUUAAUUUGCUGAUGAUUUUAAUAAUUGUACGUGGAUUAGAAUUUUUUGAGAGUUUGCCCAUAAAUAGAACUUAUUGGGUAACCUAAGAGACUUGUAUAGGGAAGAUUGAGGUGUAGAUAAAGGGAGACACGGAAAUAUACCAAUGGCACCGGGGUGACCCCUGAGGGUUGAAAAGAGAAUUGUCUCAGAGCUUGGAUUUUUGAGUGUUUUUAGUCUCGUGGUUGUAUACCUCUACGGAAUAUAGUGGAUUACCGUUCUCGCCUGUGAAUGUAGGUUGGCGUGGGCCAAAUAACUUAAAUUCUUGUGUAAUUUUUUCUUUGUUGUGCGUGUGGUUAUGCUUCGAUUUGUGUUCGGGAAUGGUGAAAUAUUUUACAUGUGACCUUAAUUAGCAGAGGAAAUAUGAGACAUUAGACAAAUUAUGAGAAAUUCUACAAGUCCAAGAAGUUGGAUCUAGAAAGUUCUUAUAAUUCAAAAUAAAUGAUUCAAAUUCACAUGAGCAUAUGAAUCUCGCAUAAUCAAGUGAAUAUGCACCAUUCAUUUUGAAUUCAUAAAACUUUUUUGAAUUUAAAUUCUUGGACCAUAGAUUAUGCAUUCAAUAAUGCGUUCAUGAUACGUUUUUUGUGAAUAUAUUACAAUAAUAUCUCCAAUUAGUGAUUGCUUUCAACUAUUUGAAACGUGUAAUGUUGACAUAUAUGUGUCUGUAUUCUCAGUAGAUUUUGCUGGAUGCACCCAGUGCAGGUGGUACCAAAUCUUACUUUUGUUUUAAUAAUAAAAAUUCUUUGCCUUUAUAAAGCUACGAGAUAAUGACUUUUUUGAAUAAUGUUACCUUGCGAAUGAGCAUAAAACAUGAAAUAAACAUGAACAUUGAACGCACCUUUUCUUGGGCAAAUCAAUCCUAUAGAAACAAAGUUUUAUAUAAAAUUUGAUUAUAAAAUAAUGUGAAUCGUUUAUAUCAUGCUGGCCCACAUUUUUUAGUUGUAAUUCUUCUAAACAAAAUUCAUUUUUUUUUCCUGUUUGGCUUGUCUUUAUAGUUGGGCGAAUGAUUUUUAGCUUGUAAACGCUCUCGCAAAACCCCUAAAUUUUGUUACCGUAAUAAAUUGUAUGCAGCGGUGUUAUGGUGAAAUAAAAACCAGAGAAGUUUGAAUUAUUAGGUUGAAAUGAACAGACCAAAAGCAAGAAUAAAGUCCAAUCCUGGUUUUAAAGGUUACAACUUGACUUGUGAACUUAAAAAACACCAUAAGCUAACAACAAGAAGCCCUGUUUUAUUCAAACUGUAACUCAAAUCAUUCAAUUCAGUAGCCGUAGAGCUUCGUGGGCAGGCGUGGGGUGAGAAGAACCUCCAAUGGCGUUGCUUUCGGAAUAGUCAGCCCUGGACUCUCACUCAUAUCAACUGGCAAAUCCAGUGGGCUUGCCAAAUCGAACCCGUGAAGGAGACGGGCAAGGGUCAGGUGCAGGACUUGGAGAGCAAACGACACACCCGGGCAUGACCGCCUGCCUGAACCAAAAGGAAUGAGCUCAAAGUGUUGCCCUCUCACAUCAACAUUUUCGUGGUUGGUGAAAAACCUCUCUGGUUUAAAGAUCGAUGGAUCGGUCCAAACUCUCGGGUCCCUCUGAAUCUUCCAUAUGUUCACUAUUAGGCGGGUCCCGCCUGGGACGUUGUAGCCGCCUACAGUACAACUUUCCAUGGCUUCUCGGGGUCCUAAGAGCGGACCGGCAGGGUACAAACGCAGGGUUUCCUUGAUGAUGGCUUGAAGAUAGAUAAGGUUUUUGAUGUCUGAAUCAUCAACUUGUCUGUCCGCACCAACAUGGAGGUCUAAUUCUUCUUGUGCUUUCUUUAACGCUUCUGUGUUGUUCAGAAGUAACGAGAUUGCCCACGUCAACGUGCCCGCGGUGGUGUCGCUGCCACCUAGGAUGAGUGCCUGCAUAAAAAAAUUAAACCAAUUCAAUUAUCCGGAUAUAAAAUGCUAUGUACCCAAUAAAAGUGGCCCAAAAAGAACCCCCCAAAAAACUUUAAGAGAUAGUUAUAGGACUCUUCAACCUAUUUGAUCACUCAUUAGCUAUAUAGAUUAAAGAACAUAGCAUACCAAGCAGGUAGAUUUGAUGCUAGUAUUUGAAUCAUGUUCAAAAUUUGAGAGCCGUCCUUCCUCCUGAAGGGACAGCAUCACAUCAAUGAAAUCCUGCUCGCUCUUAGCCUCACCAGCCCUUCUCCUUUGACGAUGCUCCUCCAACCAACCUUCGAGUAUCGAAUCCAACUCUUUGGCAGUCUUUUUCAUCGCUCGCUCGUGGCCAUUCACAUCAAACCACCCCAAGAAUGGAAGUGCAUCAGAGACCACGAAAAUGCCAAUGAGGUGAAAGAACUGACUAAUCGCCUUCUGGCAACGUCUGGCUUCGUCAUCAUCACAGUCAGCUCCAGCACCAAAAUAGCGUUUUCCAGCCACCAUUCUAACAACAACGUUAAGUGUGAGAUCUUCUAACCAACGUUUGAGCUCCACAAGCACAGGGCGGUUUCUGUCUUUGAGUCCACAAGUUGUACAGCUCCCCAAUCCCCAUGUUCACUUCGGAAGUCCGCACGUGUUUGAGCAUUUCAAGCCGGCGGUUUGAGAGGAGCUCGAGGGUGGCAAUCUUCCGCAUCUCGCGCCAGAAGGGGCUGUAUGGUGCAAAACCAAACACCGCGUAGUUGUAGCCCAUUAGCUUUGCAGCUGCAGUAGUGGGACGAGAAGCAAGUGCCUUGUCAUUAUCAGUGAAGCAUUCUUUCGCUACUUCCCAGCUAUUCACUACGAAAGCACGGCGACUACCGAGGCGGAUGUUGAAUGCUGGUCCGUACUUAUCGGCCAUGUCUCCGAGUGUUCGGUAGAGAAGCUGAUCGACACCACCAAGUAAAUGGAGGUGGCCGAUAAUUGGCCAUGCACCAGCUGGUUGAGGAGCUUCUUUGACAGUAAUCAUGCUUGUUUUUUGAUUCUUCUUUCCAACUAAAGCACAGUAAACAAAAACCAAGGUAACAAACGCCCCAAUGACUGGUAAACAGAAAGAAGAGUCCAUUGUUUGGUGAUGAGAUAAGCAGGGACAAUAGACCGGGUCCAUUUAUAAGCCCAUUUCAAGAGCAUUUCGAGCAUGAAGCAUACCACAUUUUGGUUAAAAUUCUGAUUCCUGGCAUGGUACAUGACCUGCCUUUACUUUUAUUCAAAUCCACAUACAUACAUAGACAAAUUCACUCAUGGACACUCAGGGUCUACAUUCUUAAUUGCCUAUAGCACACAGACAGUUGGACUCUACCCCAGUUACUUCCAAAUAAUACAGGAGAUUCUCUACCUACCCGAGCAACCCAUGGAAUUUUUGAUGAUUAUGUGUGUAUAAUGAAAGGUAUUAAAAGACAUUGGACCUAUUCCAAUUGUUUAAAAUACUAACUAUAUAACAAUCAAUUACCAAAACAUCAUGCACACAACUAAGCCAAUAUUGGAACUCUAGCCUGCAUCAUUUUAAUGAAGAAAAUUAACAAAACAGAACCAAGAUAAGCAUUUGGAUUGACCCUGAAUGUCAUUCUUCUUUGUUCAGUUGUUUGUGGAAAAAAUGAAUGUUUUCUUUCACUUUUCACAUUUGAGUAACAGUAUGCUGACUAUAUGGGUCUGUACAAUUGAGAGUGGGAGAAACCAAUAUAUACAUACAUAUAUUUAAAAAGAGACCAUUGCACUUUCACUAACAUUUCAGUUCGCACCUUUCAUUUCCAAUUGUGUCAAUUUAUCCAAUACACUUUAGGUCAAGGUUCAAUGUGUCCUUUGCUUCCAUUUUAUAUUCAAUAAAGUGAUAGAAAGAGGCCAUGUGGCCUCACGAAAGGAGACCCAGCGCUCCCCCAAAAAAAAAAUUUUGAAUGGCAAAUGGAUGGAAGGGCUAUAUUGACACUUGACUUAAGAGUAUAGGAAAUUGACUAAUACAAUUGAAAGUAGAGGGUGCAAAGUGAGAUUUCAUGAAAAGUGAAAUUAACCUUAUAAAUAAUGCAGGGAAUCACAAGAGUCAACUCACUCCCCUACAAGAAAAAAAAAAAAAGAGAAUGUGGAAUAUUAUAUAUAUCAAAUUGAAUUAUGAUGCUGAGUAUGGUUAUAGAUUGACUAGAAUGUUUACAGAGGUUUCAGAUUUCCUUUAGCAUAAUAGUUGCAAGGAGAGUGAGACUGUCAAACCUUCAGUAUUUGAAGCAUGGAUCAUGCCGCUCUACCACCUUCAGUAUGGUGUUUGAAGCAUGGUUCCUCCAGCUUUUUGCUAAAAAACAAAAGGUGUAUACGCAUGGAUGAAUGAAUAUGCUGAUAUUUGACAAGUCAGUUAUAUUGUGACAUAUAACAGAUGCAUGAUAUUUGACAAGUCAGUUCUGGUAACACAUGAUAGAAUAUGACAGUACUGAAAGGAUCAAACUAGUUGUAAGGUAUCAUUUUAUGGAAUGUAUGUGUUUCUUAGCUUUUCAGCAACAAAGCUCUUGUUAAUAAACAAGUUUUUCUUCUUUGCUAUUCAAAAUUUUCAGGUUUUUCCAAAGUGGUUUGUUAAUAAACAACUAAGGGCUAGCGACUCUUCGGUUUUGCAUGAUUGAUAACUCUUAUUGUAUACAUGAAGAGUAUCUCCCACUCAGACCAUAACAAAUGUUAGAUCAAAGAUGGUCAUAGGGAUGACAAAUGGAUUUUUUUACCAAAAAUUUCCAUAGAAACAUAGGUCAAACAACAAACCUCAUAACCGCCUUUGUUUUGUGGACUAAAAUGCACCUUCAAAUACCAUUAACUAUUUGUAAAUUGACAUAACCUCAGUCAUCACCACCAGCCAAUUCCUACAACACUCCCAUAUACCCCGACACCCGUCACACAAAUUGAGACCUAAUUGAAUAUAAUAAAGAUCUUCAUUCAAACAAAGGAACUUUGCAAUCCCAGAUUCCUGAUUGGAAAACUAUCAUAAUGAUGUUGGAGUGGGAAAACCUUAAAAUUACUCCCUUUGUGAGACCUACAAAUGGGCUAAUCUUUUAUAAGUUGUAACAUAAUAAAGGGUGUUUUAAAAAUUAAGGAGUUGGGUUUAGAAACUUGCUUGCAAAUACUUGGGUGUCCCUGUUGAACAAAUUCAUAGUGGUUAUGGAAAAACAGUGGAUUCGAGUGAGUCAUUUGGAAAAAGAGUGAACACCGGCUCUAGGAGUAACCCAUGCCCACUUCCCAAACGCCUAAUUCAGCUACCCUAUGAUAGUCCAACAGCCAACAAUUGUAACUUCGAUAGACUUUGGCUGUUGAUUCAAUCAUCCAACUAAUUUACUUAUAGGUUUGAUUACGUGCCAUGUGGGCUUGGUUUGGUGAUGUACAAAAUUCCAUAUGUGGAUUUAGUUUGAUGAUGUAAGUAAAUAGAGUUAGGCAGCAAAAGAUUCUCAGGCAAACAUCUGGGUUUAACUUGAUGAUGGCCAUAAGUGAGACGGCGAGAGAUGGGGGAGGGAGGGGAGUGGUUGGGAUCAUGUGGAAGAGAUGGUGAUGGUAGUGGAAUAUCGGAAUGGUGGGGAAGGAGGGAAGCGGUUGGGGUGGGAAUCCAGAUUAAGAGGAGUGGUGAAGGGAAAAGAAGAGAAAAAUGUCUUUUUUGUAAUUGAAAGCAUAACAAGGGUAAUUUUUUGAUGUUAUAACAAAUCCAUUCUCGACCUCGACACGUGUCCUGCACGAACUUUUAACUGGGAUGGAAGGUUUGACAAGUACUUUAGUCCACUAACCAUAGAAUGUUAUGAGAUUAAUUUCCAUUGACACAGAGUAAUCUGCACAUAGCCCAAAUCACAAGGGGUAAAAUGAAGUUUACCCUAGUUACAAUGAUAUAAGCCUCAAUUACCUGGAAUACUGGAAUUUUAUCCGAUUACAUCUCUAGAUGUCUAUAACAUUCACUUCAACACCCAUAGAACCUUGUUGGGAGGUGGAGGAUAAGAAUAACCUUCGGCAGGGUUGCUUUUGGACAGUCAAACCGUGGCUUUCAGUGAUGUCAGCAGGCCUGAUCCAAUGGGAUUGUCAACUCAAAAGCAUGAAAAGGAUAAUCAAGUGUUAGGUAAAGGAGUUGGAGCCAAAAGGACAAACCCGUACAGGAAGUCAACCAGAACCAAAAGGAAUAUUCUCAACUUCUUGGCCCCUUAGAUCAUAGUCGGCAUGGCAAGUGACAUCCGUCAGGUUGAAGGUGGAUGAAUUUUCAAGAUUCUUGGAUCUCUUUGAAGCUUUCAUGCAUUCACAAACAAGAUGAUGCCUGCUAGGAAUUUGUUGACGGAUGUGCAUCUUCUUUGAUUUCGACAUUUCUUCCAACACAAAACAUCCGGAAAAAAUGACUCCCAUAUCCUACGCUAAAACGGAAAUAUCCUACUCCGAUGCCAAAGAUAGAGGCUCAACCUGGUGAUGUCAAUCCUUGAUAACAAGGACACACGAGCACAUGACUAAGAGGGAGAAGUGCUUUAAUCAGAGAAAGGGAAGUCUAUGGCUUCCUGUCCUAAGUAGGGACCUACUGAGUAUAGACACAUGGUUCGAUGAUACACGGGGAUUUUGAAGAUCGAAUCAUCAACUCACCGGUCCUCACCACCAACGAAAUGGAAUCAUGGUACUUGUGCCUUUUCACGCCUUCACAGUUGGUCAAGGCACAUGUUAGUGUGCCUCAUGUUCUGUUAUUGCCAAUGGUGAGAGCCUGCAUAACAAGUUCAUAGAAACUUUAAAAUCCAACAUACAUUUGAAUUUUCUAUUGAAAAUUCUUUAAGCAUUCAUAAAUGGAAAAUCCAUAUUUCUAAAGGUGUCUUAUCAUUAGCAGUGACUACUCACCACGAAAAGCAUGGCGAAGACAUGGCAGAACUUGAAUGCUGAUCCAUACUGGUCACCCAUGGCUCCGAGUGGCCUGUUUGGCAACAAACCUCAUCACGAUCACCCAGUAAAUGAAACAGUUGGUUCAGGAGCUUCUUUAGAAGUCUGACCAUGUUUAACAUUCUUUGGUGUUCCAAGCAACGCGUUAUAGAGACAGACUACGGAGAAAAUAUCACAAUGGCGUAUAAUUGGAAAGAAAAGUCCAUGGCAAGAGAUAAGCAGGAAUAGAGAAGAACCCCCAAUAAACUUAUACUUCCGUACCAACAAUAUUCAAUUCGUACAAAAUGAAGCACGCGAGAUGAGCAAACAUGGAGAACAACCCCCAAUAAAUUUAUAAUUCCGUACCAACAAUAUUCAAUUCGUACGGACUGCAGCAUACCAUAGCCCAAUAAUAGUCUCUCCCAACAAGGAGAAUGGCUUUCAUUAUAUAUUCUGUUCAACCCAUUACCCGUCACAAUGUUAGACUAAUUGCCCAGACUUGGACCAUGUCAAUUGAACAAUCUCCGUAGAUCAAUCAGCCUGGCAUGACAUUGUUUCAUCAUCAAUCUUCUACGAAAUAACUGAGAACUCUUAAACACUGAAGCCACAGUUUUGUACCAAGCUUGCAGGUAGUUGCUGUCUACAAUUCAGCCGAAUUGACGAUCUGGUUCUAACUUUUUCAAUCAAGAAAAUUACACCAAAUUCAGAUUUACACUAGUGUCGAAUGUUACAUGCAUGAUUUUUUUUUUCGCAUUGAAGUCAGCAGUGGCAGAACCAGAAAUUAUCCUUGGGUGGGACACAGCAAAGUCAAUGUUACCCAAUCUCAUUUUCUAUCACCAAAAGUAAUAAAUUCAUAUAAUUGUGAUAUACUCCAGUAAAAUUCACCACAACGACUAAUUAAAAGUUAAAUUAAUGGAAAAUACAUUAUAUAAAAGCAUUCAUAUAUGUUUUACUGAAUUAGCAUCCUGCUGACUGCAUCAUCCUCUAAUACUGGAACAUCUCCUUCCCGUAUCCAGCGAGGAUGGAAGAUAACUACCCAGAUAUCAUCUUGAGAGCUACAUUAUUCGACCAGUUUCCUGCAUAAAUAACGGAUACAAUAAGAUUGAUUGAAAUAUAUAGAAAGGCCAUUGGAUUGUUAGAAAAUCAAACAUGACCAUCAAAUCUGAUAAUGUGUAUAAUUAGGUUGAAUCUUUUGCAUACUUCAACUACAAGGUGAGAAUUAGCUUGAAUUGCCAUGGUGAUUGUUACUUAACCCAAAUUACCAAAUUUCCCUAAUAAUGUACCAAAUUUUGAUAAUUUCUACAAAUACAGGACUGAAAUCUGGUGAAUCCAAAAUCCAAAACUGGAGAUACAGAAUUUCUAGGUCCAAUUCGGUCCUAACUUGUAAUUGUUGUUUCGAUUUCUUGUGUCAGCCAUGGAACGAAAAGCUUGAAAGCAAGAAUCUAAAGAAUAAUAACGAUAAACAUAAAAGAAUACGCACACACACAAAAUUAAAAUAGGUUAUUAAUAGAAAACAAGAUUGAUGAAAAAGGUAAAAGUGUAAGAAUAUGGAAAAGAAAAAAAAAAGACCGACGGUCUGCAUAAAAGGAAAUUAUUUGAAUUUGAAGAAGGGUUACACCCAAUGGUGUAAAUACAAAAUGCAUAAAAUCACACAAGGGUAUAUAAAUGAAAAUUAUAUAUAACCUAAUAUAAAUAGAAAUGAUAUAUAACCUAAUAUAUAACUCUCAUAAGAAUCUCAUUAGUGUGGGUAUUAAAUGUUAUAUACAUACACACAUCCACCCCAUUCUCUAUAAUUCCUCCCCUCUUCCUCGCUUUCUCUUUUUUUCGCCCUAGCCCUCUCCCCUUUUCCAUCUCUUCCCGGCUCUUCCUCCCGGGUUCCCAGCGCUCCCCUUCCUUCCCCCUCCGCCCUUUCUUCUCGCUAUUAAUUAACCCUUAUUUUUAAAACAAAGUUGACUCUCAAAUUUAUCGCGAGUGACAGUCCCAAAUUAAUCGGUUCAAUUAACUGGAUACUGAAUUGUUAAAAACAAAAUAAACAACCAAGAUCGUGUGAUAAUUUUUGCUUGAUUUAUUUAGAACAAAGUAACAGUGACCAUUAAAGUAUAACCACAUUGCAAUUCUCACAUAGCUUUCUAUUUUAUUUGUUACAGAAUCUAAUUACUCAUAAAGAUUAGAAGCCAAGCGAGGGGCGAUUAAGACUUCAAGCGGAGUGGCUUUGAUGUUGGUUAGCCCAGCGCUCUCGGUCAUGUCAACGGGCCCAGUGCCCGGAGUUGAAAGCCCAAAUCCAUGGAGCAACCUAGCCAGCACCAAGUGCAACAUUUGGACACCAAACACAAUUCCGGGGCACAACCUCCGCCCCGCCCCAAAUGGUAUCAGCCCAAAAUGCCGGCCCCUAACAUCAAAAUCUUUGUGGGUUGUGAGGAACCUCUCGGGCCGGAACUCGGACGGGUCGGGCCAAAUUGUUGGGUCUCUUUGGAUUUUCCACAGGUUCACCAUUAGCCUCGUGCCUUUUGCAAUGUAGUAGCCAUGAACGGUACAAUCUUCUGUAAACUCCCUUACACCUGAUAGUGGACCCGCGGGAUAUAACCGUAAUGUCUCUUUGACUAUAGCUUGGAGGUAUGCCAGCUUGGGGAUGUCUGAUUCGUCCACUGUCUUCUUGACUCGUUGGAAGUCAAGUCUUCUGGAGGCUUUCUUUCAAAUUCACGUGGCGGUUGUUCAUUAUUAGGGAGAGUGCCCACGUCAGCAUCACUGUUGUGGUGUCUGCUCCUCCAGAGAUCAACCCCUGGAUGCAGAUGGAGAAAUAUGAAGGCCUCACAGGUUAUUUUUUAUUAUUUUAAUAUAUCUCUUUUUUGUUCUUGAUCCUUUAUAAAAAAAUAAAUUAUAUUUUGCACCCUUAUAUUUUUAUCGAAAUAUCUUUUUUCAUCAUUGGAAGGAUAAAAAAAUAAUUAUUAGAAAAAAAUAUGAUCGUUGUAAACAUUGAUAGUUGAAAAAUAAUCUUUUUAAAAAAAUAUUGCAGUUGGAACAAUAUGACGGUAUUAGAAGUAUGACUGUUGAAAACAAAUUAUAGUAUAAAAUUAAUAAAUAGUAAAUAAAUAAUAAUUAAAAUUAAAAUAUAAAAGCUAAAGUAACUUGUUAAAAUAGAAUAUGUAAUUUUUGAGUUAUAAUUUGACUCAAAUUUUAUGACGUGGAUGUGGAUACUAUAAGAGGUGACAGUUGAAAGGAAAUCUGUAUUUUACAGUAAUAACACUUAAACCUAAGCCUCAUACUUGGUAAAGGACCACCUUAAUCACUAAACAACCCUUGGUCUUACAUUCUCCUUUAGCAAAAAUGCAUUUUCUUUUAUUUAUAUAGCCAAAUUAUGAAAUUACUAAGGCUCAGUUUGACUUAAAUUUUUUGGAGAUUUUUUUGUGAGUUUUUUUGUCAUCAAUGAUUUGUUUUAACUAUUUGAGAAAAUUUUAUAUGUUUUCGAUUUUCAUGAUGAGAGGAUUAUGAAAAUGUAAAAUAUUCAUUUAAUUUAAAAAAAUUAUUUAAAAAAUUAUUUUUACUCAACAAACUAGCUAUUUGUUUGUAAUGGAAUUUUUUUUCAAAUUUAAAUAAGUUUUUAUAUUUUCAGAUUCUGCUGAUUAAGAGCAACAAAAAAAAUAUAGAAUUUUUUUUUAUUAAAAAGAAAAAACGAAAAAAAAACAAAGCAGUUAAAAAAUUUUGCAAAAAAUAUUACAAACAGGACAUAAAUAUAAAAAUAAAAGAAUGUAUUUGUAAUAAAAAAAUGGAGUAUAAAAAUAUUUUCUUAAUUUUUUUAUCUUAAAAUAUUGCAAAGUAAGCAAAAACAAAAACUGACGAAGACGAAAAUACGGAGCACUGUAGUAGAAGACAAACCAGACACGUGGCUUUGUUGAUGGUGUCAACAUCGUAACGUCCAAGGUCUGCCCCUUCAAGGGUCGUAAUACAUAACGUCCAUGAAGUCCUCAUCAGCCUUAGCCACACCAGUCGCUCUCUCUCUCCGGUGCUCCUCUAACCAUCCCGAAACAAUAGCGUCCAUUUCUUUGCCAGUCUCCUUCAUGGCCUUCUCGCGGCCACCCAAGUCCAGCCACCGCAGGAACGGCACGGUGUCAGACACCAGAAACAGCCCCAAAAAGUAAAAGAACUCCCUGAACGCCUUCUGGCACCGCCGCCCCUCCUCCUCAUCGCCGCCACAGCCGCCUGCCCCGAAGAA
rnacentral:lncRNA from 1 species